rnacentral:rRNA from 1 species
AAGCCAGACUCCUACGGGAGGCAGCAGUGGGGAAUAUUGGGCAAUGGGCGCAAGCCUGACCCAGCAACGCCGCGUGAAGGAAGAAGGCUUUCGGGUUGUAAACUUCUUUUGUCAGGGACGAAGCAAGUGACGGUACCUGGGGAGGAAGCUCCGGCUAACUACGUGCCAGCAGCCGCGGUAAUACGUAGGGAGCAAGCGUUGUCCGGAAUUACUGGGUGUAAAGGGAGCGUAGGCGGGGAUGCAAGUUGGGUGUCAAAACUACCGGCUCAACCGAUAGUCGCACUCAAAACUGCAGCUCUUGAGUGAAGUAGAGGCAGGCGGAAUUCCUAGUGUAGCGGUGAAAUGCGUAGAUAUUAGGAGGAACACCAGUGGCGAAGGCGGCCUGCUGGGCUUUUACUGACGCUGAGGCUCGAAAGUGUGGGGAGCAAACAGGAUUAGAUACCCGGGUAU